UUAUAGUUUGAAAAUGUUUUCAUUUAUAUGUCUUCAAUUCAGAAAUAAUCUUCUUUCUUUCUUUUUCAAAUUGUGCUCACUUGCAUAGAGAGAAUUACAAACCAAUACCAAAUAAUCUGAGAUAGCAUUAAUUUGGUUAAAGAAGAAAAUUUGGAGAAGCAUAUCGUUUUUACAAAUUCAAUUUGUCAAAGUAUCUACAGAUGUUCUCCCUGAAACUUCUUUUCAAAUUGAUUUUUCUCUGCCAGGACUCAGCCAAAUAUGAAGAUCCUUGUCUUUGCCUUUAUCAUGGCUCUCAUGGUUGCCAUGAUCGGAGCUGAUUCAUCUGAAGAGAGAUGAUAUUUAAAUCGGCCACAUCAAUAUCCUUGCAUACUUCCAAUAAAUGACAUACCAGUUCCUUAUCCA
rnacentral:lncRNA from 1 species